CAGCGUUUCAACUUGAGAGUUUGAUCCUGGCUCAGAACGAACGCUGGCGGCAGGCCUAACACAUGCAAGUCGAGCGCGCCCUUCGGGGUGAGCGGCGGACGGGUUAGUAACGCGUGGGAACGUGCCCAGAUCUAAGGAAUAGCCACUGGAAACGGU
rnacentral:rRNA from 1 species